UGUUUUGUUGUCAGGCGUCAAACCUAUUUACUCAUUUAUUUGAGUAAAUUCAGUUUACUGAACAUAAUUUUAUGAUGUUGACCAAGUAAUAUUUUGUAGUUAUAACUAAUCAUGAGUCUGAUUUAUGUCAAAUGAAUGUUUCUACAGUUGGACUUGAAGUUAUGUUCUUCUUCUUGUCAUCAAACUCGAAGAACCCAAUGACUUCUCUAGAAUCGUGGAUUGAUCCUUAAAAAAUGACCACAAAAGGUGGCUUAAUAGGAAAACAGGCGACAACUAGAGCAAAUGCGUUCACUGUAGAAAAGAUACUGGAUUCUCGUGAUGCUAAUGGGACCACCGAGUACCUACUCAAGUGGAGAGGCUACUCUGAUGACAAUAACUCGUGGGAGACCGAGGAGACAGUUGGGAAACAAUUGAUACAGGAAUUUUGGAAGAGGAAAAUCUCCUUUCAAUCAACAGUGAAGAAAGGUCCUUCAAAUAGUAACAAGUCCAACUGUUCGCUAUUGAAAUACCUAAAGGAAAGAGACAACACGCUUGAAUACCAACCUAAAAAGAAAAUAGUAGAGGGAUCAGGAUUUGACCCUGGUGGAUUAGAGCUGGAUGAUUCAAUCAAGGCUCAGAUUCUCGCCUUGUCAGAAGCCGUGUCUUCAGAUAGAAAUAUUCCGAGUGAUGAGGAUUAUGUGAGUCUACUUGAGUCCAUUGAAGAUGACCUUUCAUCAGGUGAACUUACUAUGAGUGACCUCCCUGGUGCCAUCAAGUCCACGGCAAGGAAAAGCACCGCACCAAUACCUCACAAAUCUACUGUUUUGGACUCGAGGAUUGCAGCAAAUGAAAUACUUACAAUCGAAAAAUCACUUAUUGAAAGUGCCGCACAGUUAGAAAAACAGAGCAAUGCUGCAACCGAAAACACAUCUGAUCCGUACAACUUUGAAGAAUAUGAAAAAACCAAUUCCGAUUCAAAUAUUGCUAAAGAACAACCUUAUUCCAGUAAAGAAAAGAAGUCAAAUGUGUCCAAAAAUAAUUCGAGUUCAACACCAAUUUGCAAAAUUCUCUCAGUUUCAUCCAUUGGUAAAGAGAGAAGAAUUGUUAAAGAAAAUCCUAAUAAAGAGAAAAGAGCAAUUAAGAAAAAUCCUCUUAGAAUUCCAAAAUCAAAAUAUGCGGAAAUUACCAUGCCCUUUAGAGAGAAACUAUACUCUUCAAGACCUGACUUUCCUCCCUUGCCUUUGGAAGAAGGUGGAUCGGUUAUAUUUGAAGAUAUUGGAGUUAAAGUUGAACAUCCAAAAUACAGCCCCCCCAAAAAUAGCCAACCCUCUUCUUCAAAUCGCAGUAUAACUCAAACUUCUCUUCCUCCCAAAGAAAUAGAAAUCAACGAUGAUGACCCACUCCUUAUAGAUAUAGAUGAACUUUUGUUAGAUAAAAAUACCAACGAGGAAAAUUGUGAUAUCGACAUUGAUGUAGGAGACUCCACUGAUGAAAGACUGGACCUCGUAUGCAAUCAAAUCCAAGUUGGCGGGAAAACGAAUAAUUUUACUCAAUCAUUAUUGAAAAAGUCAAAUAUUAUGCCUGAAAAAAGGCCAAUCGAAAUCAUUGAUGAAGGAAGUAAUAAGAAAAUUAGAAUGGCAUUUAAAAAGAAUGAUCAGGGUGUAAUGGGUGUCAAAACCAUUUCUGACAAGCCUCGUAAUAAUUUGAAUCAUUUAAGUCCAAAUAAAAUAUCUUUGUGUCCACAAUCAAAGAAAAUAAAUCCUACUGCCACAAACAAUUUUCUGAUACCUGCUCCCCCCGGCCCUAGUUUAUUGAAACGACCAGCGAUGAAGAACAACUCCCUUCUUAAAAACAAUAAUGCAAAUAGUGCAUUAUCUUUGCUAAAAACUUCCAAACCCUCAACCAGUAAAAUAUUGAGUGAACCUGAAAAAAGUAGACAGUUAGUCCAAGAAAGUAGGAAGAAAGAAAUUUUGACUAGGUUGUCAAAAAAUAAGAACCUAAACCCAUUCAAUUUGUUAGACCACAUGAGUGAAUACGAAAUUAACAUUCUAGGUGGUGAAGUUAUUAAGGACGACAACCGACCUCAAGGCUUCGAAAGGAAUUUAGAACCAGAAAGAGUGAUUGGAGCAACAAAAUCUACGGGAGAACUGAUGUUGCAUAUGAAAUGGAAAGGCAGUAAAGACACAGACUUUGUAACGGCAAGGGAGGCACAUUUACGAUGUCCUGAAUUGGUGAUUCAAUACUAUCAAGGGACGUACACCUUACAACCUGAAGUAGAGGAGCCAUCGUGAUAGUAGCUGCGGCAGAACACUUGUUGUGCCUGCGUUAGUGUUAGUGAUGUAUGAUCUAGCUUUAAAGAGUACGGUGACGUCAACGUGUGUAGAUAUACCAAAGUGCAGCUGAUCUUAUAUUUCCUUAAGGAAUAUCUGUGCGGUUGAGUAUCCAUCGUUUGCGAUUCGUUUUGUAACAUUGAUAGCCUACCUCAGGAAUGUCUCCCAGGUAAUUUAAUAACACAUACUAUGCUGAUCAAGAAGUUAUUUAACAUAUUUGAAAAAAUAUAUGUUUGUCAAUUGGCGUUUACUGGACACGUUAAUUUUCGCUACCUAUGGUUGUAUGUAUAAAAUGGCUUUAUAAUUGAAACUUAGACCUCAGAUAAUGUCAUGCAGAGUACUUGGUUUACCAAGACCAGUUAAUUGGACCAUAGACAAAAAAAAUUAAAUAUAGACCGUCAGCUAGACUGCGGUUACCAUAGGUACUGGCGCACACCGCUGGGAUUGCCUCGGUAGUUACAGCGUACGCGCUACGUAAACUACAGCGGUGUGCGCCCGAACUUAUGGUAACCGCAGCACGGCUGACAGUCUAUAUUUAAUUCUUUUUGUCUAUGAUUGGACUAACAGGGAAUUUCAUGUUGUAUGAAACUGUGCUGUGAUCAUUUGAGGACACGUGUAAUAUCUUACCAGUUUGCAUAGUUUUUAUUUCAAUUGGAGUUCCCGCAACAAGGAAAUGGAGUCAUUUGAUUGGCUGAUUCAACAGUGGCAGAUGCAGAUAUUCGAUAAGUUUAACUAUAUCAAUUAUAAAAUUAAACUGUUAUAGCCUAACCUAACUUACCAAACUUGCUGAUGAUGAAAAAAUCGAAUGUAGGUUUACUUACAUUAGCAUUAGGGUAGCCCAGUUAAGAAACUGUACCCAAAGUCAUGAUGUCACUGUUGGAUCAGCCAAUAUUAAGUCUUCAUUCGCCCUAUUUGCCGGACCCCGGAACUCCAAUUGAAAUUAAAAUCACGCUACCAGCUUAGGUUAUAAUAUCACUGUGGAACUCAAUAUAAAAUUUAGCUCAAAUUCAUCUGGAGUAUUGUUUGAUAAAAAUUUAAUGUAUUCCCUGAGGGAAAUUCACUAAAAGAAACACAUUUGUAUCUAAGAAAGUACCUGACAAUACCUUUGUGUAUAUUUUGUGGUUUUUAGGAUACUGUCGUUUAAUUAUUUAUUUUUUAGUUUUUUUUAAUGCUUGAUGUAAAUAUGUAUAAAAACAUGUGUCAAAAUACAUUGUGGGUGUUUUUACUGUAAUUUACCUUGCAAAGUAACACAAAAUAAAACAAAUGA